rnacentral:rRNA from 1 species
UGCGCAGGCGGGCUUGUAAGUCAGUGGUGAAAUUCUGCCGCUUAACGGUAGAACUGCCAUUGAUACUGCAAGUCUUGAAUAUGGUUGAGGUAGGCGGAAUGUGUUGUGUAGCGGUGAAAUGCAUAGAUAUGACACAGAACGCCAAUUGCGAAGGCAGCUUACUAAGCCAUUAUUGACGCUGAGGCACGAAAGCGUGGGGAGCGAACAGGAUUAGAUACCCUGGUAGUCA